CUAAUAAUUUAAUAAAUAUAUUUAACGAUUAUUAAUCUGCCACUCAAUAACAUUGCGAGUUUAACCCCUUAAUCAUUAAGGAUUUCAACGGAUCACUGCCAGCAUCACAGCCAGCCAUUUUGUCCUUUCAUUCACUUGGUCCAGUCCCAAUGUCCAACUUCAGCAUGAUCUUAAUGGGUCAGAUUUUAAAUCUGGGUUAGUAAAACUUAGUGUUGCUCUCUUUUCAAAUAUAGCUUAGUAGGGCUGGGCGAUAGGGAGAAGAUCAGAUAUCACGAUAUUCUUGACCAAUUACCUCUAUCGAUAUUGUGACAAUAUUCUAGGUUUGACAGUUGGUGCUUUCAAAAAAUAUCUUCACACUUAGAUUUUAGAUAAUCAUCAGUAAUGUGGAAAUAAUGUCUAAGUGGGGUACAGGCUAAUAAUAGAACAGUAUGGUAAGUUCAGAAAAGCACAUCACUACACUGUAAUGCAGCGUUUAAAACCAGGAAAACACACUUGUCAUAUUACAAUAUCCUAAAUCUAAGACGAUAUCCAGUCUCAUAUCGCUAUAUCAAUAUAAUAGAUAAAUUGGCCAGCCCUAUAGCUUAGUAAGAUGUAUGGAAAGUGUAGGAGAUGUCUGGGUGUUCCCCAUGGUGGACACUGGAACUGGGUCAGUAAUACCAAAAAUUUCCCUUUAGCAACAAAGUGUGAUACAAGUUCAGUCUCUUGCUCUUUAGAACCAACAUUUGGAUAAUUCAAGUUACUCCUUUUACAGUUACAUUCAGAAAAAAAAUGUUUUAUAAUGCUUAAUAUUGCUAUUUUUUUCACCCACACGCUUGUUUGAUUUUGACAAAAUAAAUUGUGGUGAAGGUGUAUGUAGAGUUAGUAUGGGACAUACACUUCCCUGGGUAAUUAACUAGAGGAGAGGAAAAGGGAGGGAAGGAGAAAAAACAGAGAAAAAUGCUGUUAUGACUAAGACAAAGGGUACCAAGCAACACUGGAAAACCACUGCACGCCAAGUAGAGAAAAAAAACCCCAUGGUUACAGUAUGAGCCCCGAGCAAAAGCACCAGCAUACAUUAGCUUCUGAAUUCAUAAGACAUUGAAUUGGUGAUGGGGUGUGCACUGUGGGCACCCAGAGUUAGGCAACUUUGCCAACAGCAUUCUUUUGAUAUUGUGUUGCUGCCAAUGACUCCUGUAUUCAUUCCUCCUGUUCAUACUGGUCAUUACAGGCGGACAUUUCAUACUAAAAAGACUAGAACCUUGGAAGAUAUCCACUUGAGUUGGCAAACUCAGAUGGCUGAAGCUUUACAUUAAUGUCGGGGGAACUUUGCAAUGUUUGUUUUCAUGGAACAAGGGGAUCACUUGCAUUAAUAGCACAUGAGGAAAGGAUCUUGUAACGACCAGUGUGAACAGGACUCAGGGAUGAUCACAGCAAGU